rnacentral:rRNA from 1 species
CCUACGGGAGGCAGCAGUGGGGAAUAUUGCACAAUGGGCGCAAGCCUGAUGCAGCGACGCUGCGUGAGGGAUGACGGCCUUCGGGUUGUAAACCUCUUUCAGUAGGGAAGAAGCGAAAGUGACGGUACCUGCAGAAGAAGCGCCGGCUAACUACGUGCCAGCAGCCGCGGUAAUACGUAGGGCGCAAGCGUUAUCCGGAAUUAUUGGGCGUAAAGAGCUCGUAGGCGGUUUGUCGCGUCUGCCGUGAAAGUCCGGGGCUCAACUCCGGAUCUGCGGUGGGUACGGGCAGACUAGAGUGAUGUAGGGGAGACUGGAAUUCCUGGUGUAGCGGUGAAAUGCGCAGAUAUCAGGAGGAACACCGAUGGCGAAGGCAGGUCUCUGGGCAUUAACUGACGCUGAGGAGCGAAAGCAUGGGGAGCGAACAGGAUUAGAUACCCUGGUAGUCCAUGCCGUAAACGUUGGGCACUAGGUGUGGGGGACAUUCCACGUUUUCCGCGCCGUAGCUAACGCAUUAAGUGCCCGCCUGGGGAGUACGGCCGCAAGGCUAAAACUCAAAGGAUUGACGG